GUAACUCAGUUGGUAGAGUAACUGACUGUUAAUCAGUAGGUCCCUGGUUCGAAUCCAGGC
rnacentral:tRNA from 1 species